UACGGGGGGAGCAAGCGUUGUUCGGAUUUACUGGGCGUAAAGGGCGCGUAGGCGGUCAGCACAAGUCAGUUGUGAAAUCUCCGGGCUUAACUCGGAAAGGUCAACUGAUACUGUGCGACUAGAGUGCGGAAGGGGCAACUGGAAUUCCUGGUGUAGCGGUGGAAUGCGCAGAUAUCAGGAGGAACACCGAUGGCGAAGGCAGGUCUCUGGGCCGCAACUGACGCUGAGGAGCGAAAGCAUGGGGAGCGAACAGG
rnacentral:rRNA from 1 species